AGAGUUUGAUCCUGGCUCAGGAUGAACGCUAGCGACAGGCCUAACACAUGCAAGUCGAGGGGCAUCGGGGCGAGGAGCAAUCCUUGCCGCCGGCGACCGGCGCACGGGUGAGUAACGCGUAUGCGACCUGCCCGUUGCAGGGGGAUAAUCGGGAGAAAUCCCGUCUAAUACCGCGUAAUGCCGCGGGGCUGCAUGGCCCUGCGGCCAAAGGGAGCGAUUCCGGCAACGGAUGGGCAUGCGUGACAUUAGCUAGUUGGCGGGGCAACGGCCCACCAAGGCGACGAUGUCUAGGGGUUCUGAGAGGAAGGUCCCCCACACUGGUACUGAGACACGGACCAGACUCCUACGGGAGGCAGCAGUGAGGAAUAUUGGUCAAUGGGCGCGAGCCUGAACCAGCCAAGUCGCGUGAGGGAUGACGGCCCUACGGGUUGUAAACCUCUUUUGUCGGGGAGCAAAUUCCGCCACGUGUGGCGGAGUCGAGAGUACCCGAAGAAAAAGCAUCGGCUAACUCCGUGCCAGCAGCCGCGGUAAUACGGAGGAUGCGAGCGUUAUCCGGAUUUAUUGGGUUUAAAGGGUGCGUAGGCGGACUGUCAAGUCAGCGGUAAAAUACGGGGGCUCAACCUCCGCCCGCCGUUGAAACUGACGGUCUUGAGUGGGCGAGAAGUAUGCGGAAUGCGUGGUGUAGCGGUGAAAUGCAUAGAUAUCACGCAGAACUCCGAUUGCGAAGGCAGCAUACCGGCGCCCAACUGACGCUGAAGCACGAAAGCGUGGGUAUCGAACAGGAUUAGAUACCCUGGUAGUCCACGCAGUAAACGAUGAAUACUAGCUGUCCGGGGCGAAUGAGCCCUGGGUGGCACAGCGAAAGCGUUAAGUAUUCCACCUGGGGCGUACGCCGGCAACGGUGAAACUCAAAGGAAUUGACGGGGGCCCGCACAAGCGGAGGAACAUGUGGUUUAAUUCGAUGAUACGCGAGGAACCUUACCCGGGCUCAAACGACACAGGAACGUACCUGAAAGGGUUCGGCUCUACGGAGCCUGUGUCGAGGUGCUGCAUGGUUGUCGUCAGCUCGUGCCGUGAGGUGUCGGCUUAAGUGCCAUAACGAGCGCAACCCCCAUCGACAGUUGCUAACAUGUCAGGCUGAGGACUCUGUCGAGACUGCCGGCGCAAGCUGCGAGGAAGGCGGGGAUGACGUCAAAUCAGCACGGCCCUUACGUCCGGGGCGACACACGUGUUACAAUGGCAGGUACAGCGGGAAGCCACCUGGCGAUAGGGAGCGGAACCCGAAAGCCUGUCUCAGUUCGGAUUGGAGUCUGCAACCCGACUCCAUGAAGCUGGAUUCGCUAGUAAUCGCGCAUCAGCCACGGCGCGGUGAAUACGUUCCCGGGCCUUGUACUCACCGCCCGUCA
rnacentral:rRNA from 1 species